CCCAAGAGUCCUUGUGCUUUCUCGCCUCGCAGAUGUCCUUGGAUUGUGGUGACACCUGGAUCGUGGUUGCAGCUACUGCCGUGGUGCUGCCCGACGCCCUGCACUGCUUUCUUCUAUUUUUAUUAGUCUUCUACGUUUUUAGUUCUAUUAUUUUAUCUUUACUGUUACUAUAAUUGCCAUGUCAUUCCAUUAUACCCACUGCUACAAUUAUUAUGAGUCAUAUUUCAGUAUCUCUCUCUCGGGUCUCUGUAAAUUAUAGAGUGUGGUCUAGACCUACUAUCUGUAAACUGUCCUGUGAUAACUUAUGUUAUGAUUUCACACUAUAAAUUAAAUUGAAUUGAAAUUAAUUGAAUUGACUUGAAUU